UUUCCGUAGGUGAACCUGCGGAAGGAUCAUUCAUAAAGGACAUGCUGGAAUCGAGACAACUCUUCCAAGUCAUUUUUCCUUUUUCGUGCACAUUCUUAACUACUUUUUUUUAUUCAACCCAAACACACAAAAACACAACUAAACAAACAAAUUUUACAAAACUCGUGGCGGUGGAUGUCUAGGUUCCGGUAACGAUGAAGAACGCAGCGAAAUGCGAUACGUAAUGCGAAUUGCAGAAUCCGUGAAUCAUCAAAUUUUUGAACGCAAGUGGCGCUCGUGGGCAAUCCUGCGAGCAUGUCUGUUUGAGUGUCCAUCGUGAAAACAUUUUGUUCCUUUUGAACGGCUGAGAGGCCUGUUUGGGGAGCUGCUGUUGGGUGCUGAGUCCUUGCCGCUGGCGGGGUCACCUGAAGAAUAGAGUGUCGGGGGGGGGUUUGCGUCUUAUGGCGAAGCCGGUCUGUUUCUUGAAUAAAGAUAAUAUUGGGCUCCCACAGCGUUGUGAAGUAAUGUGAAAGUUACGGGAAGCAAGGUUGUUGGGGGUUUGGUACCAGGAAUGGGCAGGCCCGUUUUGCUUGGGAUUGCGGCUGGCUCACUGGUCUUGAACUAAUCUAACGAUUGCAACACACAUAUUUGGAUCUCAAAUCAGACAARACGACCCGCUGAAUUUAAG
rnacentral:rRNA from 1 species